AGAGGAAUGGGUGGAUGGCAUUUCAGAAUUGGCAUAAACUUAGUUCUUUUAAUUUAUACCUACUAUACCAAUUAGCAUACAUUUAAAUUUUUUUCUUUUUCUUUUGAAAAUUAAUUUUUCUUUGAAAUUAUUUUAAAUUAAUAUAAGCCCCUAAUGCAUUAAAGGGAUCUAGGCAUUGAGUCUCAAUGGCUGCUAACAUCACAGGAGACAACCAGUCAAUACUUCUAAUGGAAGAACAAACCCCACCUUUGUAUGAGUCUUGCCCAAAAAACUGAAUCUGAACCUGAUUAAGCUUCUAGAUUCAACAACCAGUAAACAGAAUUACAACACACACAGAGGAUGGAAGAAUGUGUUAAACGACACCACAGGGAUGCACUACGAGACUAUGUUCCUUUUCCAUGGCCUCAUCUUUACCUUGUGCAGGUUUCCUGGAUUCCUUGUUUUUCCCUCAGGGCUUUUCUACCCUAAUUAGGGCAUUCCCAAAGCAGAUUCUCCGCUGUUUAGUGAGAAAUCCUCUGGGAUUCAGCCUGCAGGCGAGAACCUCAGAUGCUGUUUGACUUCUGGAUAUGAUUACAAGGGAAAGACACCAACUGGCCCAACUAUGUUAACCCUUUAAUUAACCCCACAGAAAUCGGCCCUGCGCCACUUUUACCCUUCUGCUCACAGGCUCUGAGUUUGGAACCCAGAGUCUCUGUGGUUCUCCACUGGAAGAAAGGCUCUCGUCUUUGCCGCAGCUCUCACCCGGGCUGGCAGUUUUCUCUGUUCCCUCAAACAUCUUUCUUUCUUCCAGAAAUCUCUCAAAAUUUCUGGUUAGUCCUUGGCAUCCUUUCUUCCUUCAUUGUUUUCUAGUAUUGUAAUAAUUUUUUAGACAUCUUUACAAUUUAUUCAAUGGGAAGGAAAAGUGCUAAGUCAUAUGGCCAGUCCACCAUCUUGAAUCAGAAAGCCUAAGUAAUAUUUUUUUUUAAAUCUCACUUAGUAGAUACAUACCAAACAAGUAGAUGCACCUUCAGACUUACCUUGUAACCUACUUUUGAAAGACAUCACAGCUGAGCUUUAUUAAAUAAAAUUAAGAAACUUUA